CUAGAUCUGAAUGGCCAUCUCUCAAACUGUACGCACUGAAUCGCGCCGGCGCCAUUACUUAUCGACUGUUUUGCUUAUUAUUGGGUAAUUUUCGGGAGAAGACGUUUGUCGUCAGUGUAUCCAAGGAAGCUUGAAAAAAAAUUCUCUUACAAACCAAAUUACCAAUUAAGAGGCAGAGAAGUCGGUGUCAAAGUGGCUAAUUGGUGACAGAAUCGGGGAAGAAACCAUUCUGCGAUAUCACAUAGUAGAGAGCAAGAUGAGGUCGAUGGGAGAGCGAGGACGGAGGAGUGACAGCAGCACUGUUGGUUUGUUUGUGAAAUAAUGCAUUUUAGAGUUUUCAGAUAUGCAUACACAUACAAUGCAAGUUAUGCCAAAUAAUGUUUGUU